rnacentral:lncRNA from 1 species
GUAAAAGCUGAAGAACAUCAAAGACCUAUGCCCCUGUCCCAUAUAAGAAGCACCCAGCACAUAUCUCUGAAUCUGUGAUAUAGAUUCUAAGAUUUUGAGUAACUCACUGGAACUGGUGGUGGGAGUGCAGAGAGGGGGUAUAGAUGCUAAACAAUGAAGCUAAAGACAUGUGGAGAGGCCACUCCAUGCAUAGUCUCCUCAGAGCUGUGAAGCUGACUUAAAAUCCUAGUGGAGAUAGCCUAGCCUUACUUUGAAGGUGAAGACUCCUGUUAUUCUCUGUUAAGGUAUUUUGAUUGUUUACAUGGCAAAAAUCCAAAUAAAAUCCUUAUGCUGU